AAAUUCGCUCACACAUGUGCUCACACACACACACUUUAGCUCAACUCAGGUGAGCACUGUAAGUUCAACUCAGUGAAUCUAGUUAACUUGGCUAAGUCCUACCAAUACAACACUGGACUUUCAGAUUUUGAGUACCCCAGCUCGUCCCCAGGUUGGCUGAGAUACCCUCAGGGAAAUAGUAAGCAAAGAAGAGAGGGUUAGGCAUCCCAAGAGGAGGGGUGUGGACAAAAGGCACUGUGAGCAUGCCCUUAGUCCCAGCACUCAGGAGCUGAGGUAGGAAAAUCUAUAUGGAGGACAGCCAGAGCUCCACAGAGAAACUCUGUUUCAAACAAGUCAGAAGAAAACAAAACAUAACAAAAGGCUGUUAGACUCGAGCCAGCUCAUACUAUAGAGAGAACUCCCCCUCAGUACUAUGAGGAAUUGGUUCGGUUUGAAGAUCCCCAAGGAUACCAGAAUUCUCAAGUUUUGUUUUUCUUUCUAUAAAAUGUCAUUAUAUGUGCUUACUACCUAGGUACAACCUCUAGAAUACUGUAAACCACCUCUAGAUUAGUCACAAUGCCUAACACGACAGAGUGACAGGGAAAAGUAUGUACAUGUCUAGUACAUAUAAAAGAUUUCAUUCUAUUUAUUUAUCUUCUUACUUACUUACGUGUGUGUGUGUUCCAGAGUGUGUGUUGUAGAGGUCAAAGAACACCUAUGAGAGUCUGUUCUGUCCUGCUAUGUGGGUUUCAGAGUUGAGCUCAGGUCAUUAGGGUUGGUUGCAAGUGCCUUUACCUGCCGAGUCAUCUAACCAGCCUCCAAUAAAUAAUUGUUCAAAUAUUUUCAAUCCAUAGAGAGGUGAACCUUCAAAAGUAAAAUCUGUAAACCUUGAGGACUGACUGACCUUUGUGUUUCAGCUCUAAAAUCACAUGAAUUUUAAGAUAAUAGUAGUAAUAUACUAAUCACACUGCGUCAUGAUUGUCAUAAUGCAUUAUUGGGUAAUUACAACUUAAUGGCAGAAAAAGUUCUGUAAAAGAGUAACAGCAAAAGCCGGGCAGUGGGAGCACACACACACCUUUAGGGCAGUGGUAGCACUCAGUCCAAGCACUCAGGAGGCCGAGGACAGAUAGGGAACCUUGUCUUUGAACAUUUCCAUAAAUAAUGAAAUAACUAUGUCUUGAUAUUUUUCAAAAUGAUCACUGCAAUAAAAACUAAUGAGCAUGUUC
rnacentral:lncRNA from 1 species